rnacentral:rRNA from 1 species
GACGAACGCUGGCGGCGUGCUUGACACAUGCAAGUCGAGCGGAGCGGCGAACGGGUGAGUAACGCGUGAGUAACUGCCCCCCUCUCUGGGAUAACAGUUGGAAACGGCUGCUAAUACCGGAUAGUGGGGGAUGACUCGCGGCCUAUCAGCUUGUGGGUGGUGCAGGGGCGUACCAAGGCGACGACGGGUCGUCGGCCUGAGAGGGCGACCGGCCACAUUGGGCUGAGAGUGGGCCCAAACGGAUACGGCAGGCAGCGGUGGGGAACAGUGCACACUGGGGGAAACCAGGAUGCAGCACCGCCGCGUGCGGGAUGACGGCUUUCGGGUUGUAAACCGCUUUCAGCCAUGACGCGGUAGUGGCAGAAGAAGCACCGGCUAACUACGUGCCAGCAGCCGCGGUAAUUC